rnacentral:lncRNA from 1 species
AUCAACUAGCACAAAUAUUGAGCCAUUACAUGAAGUGGAAGUGCAAUCAUCACUUAGUGUGAAAAUGGAGGCAUCGGCCGAAGAGCAACUACAACCAUCACUUGAUGUGAAAACGGAGGCAUCAGCUGAAGAGGAUGUACAACCAUCACCUAAUGUGAAAAUAGAGCCAUCAGCUAAAGAGGAAGCACAACCAUCACCCGAUGUGAAAAUGGAACCAUCACUUGUCAAGAAUGAACCAUUACCGAACGCAAAUAGAAAAAUAUUUACAAGACUUGCAAAGAGAGUGGGAGAAUGUUUAUGCUUGAACCAGAAAUGAGUAACAACUUUUGAUUGGGCAUGCCUAUUG